CCUUGACUGCAAUUUUGCAGACAAUAGCCAAGACAAGGAGAUUUACAUG
rnacentral:sRNA from 12 species